rnacentral:rRNA from 1 species
AUUGAACGCUGGCGGCAGGCCUAACACAUGCAAGUCGAGCGGAUGAAGGGAGCUUGCUCCUGGAUUCAGCGGCGGACGGGUGAGUAAUGCCUAGGAAUCUGCCUGGUAGUGGGGGAUAACGUCCGGAAACGGGCGCUAAUACCGCAUACGUCCUGAGGGAGAAAGUGGGGGAUCUUCGGACCUCACGCUAUCAGAUGAGCCUAGGUCGGAUUAGCUAGUUGGUGGGGUAAAGGCCUACCAAGGCGACGAUCCGUAACUGGUCUGAGAGGAUGAUCAGUCACACUGGAACUGGGACACGGUCCAGAGUCCUACGGGAGGCAGCAGUGGGGAAUAGUGGACAAUGGGCGAAAGCCUGAUCCAGCCAGGCCGCGUGUGUGAAGAAGGUCUUCGGAUUGUAAAGCACUUUAAGUUGGGAGGAAGGGCAGUAAGUUAAUACCUUGCUGUUUUGACGUUACCAACAGAAUAAGCACCGGCUAACUUCGUG